rnacentral:lncRNA from 1 species
UGGAGCGGAAGCUCAGAGAAAACAUCGUUUAUUACCAAUUUAUUUCCUUUUCAGAAGUGUCUCUGUGAUGCCAAACAUCUGGACGGAAAGCAAGAAGGCUUCGAGAAUCCUUUGCAAAGAUUGUUUUUCUCACCCAUCCAUUCAUUCAUUCAAAAAAACAUUUAUCAGUCAGAGACUCUGGGAAGGGGUUAGAAAUUUUGAGAUGUUGAACAUCAAUUGUCCAACUCAAAUUCAGCCAAAACAACAACCAAAAGCCAAUAAUGAAGAAAAAUGUUGUUUAGCAAAAUAUGUUCAUAAAAGGAUCAAGUUCAAAUAAGAGGGCAGAGACUG